CUAUGGGAAGGCCAUCCCUGGCCUGAUCCAUGUUCAAGUUUGUCGUCGAUAUGAUAAUUCCAGGGCCCAUGGCUAUGGAAAAGAGUCAGAGGCAGUGUGCGAAGAAUUCAGUGGAAAGGCUGAUGGGAACGGCUGUAUCUCCCAGGCGGUGAAGACAAGGGCCUUUCACCGGAGGCAGAGGGGGUAUGAGGAGAGAAUCCACGUGGAAGGCAAGAUCACGGAGGAAGGCACAGGGGUGGAAUUAACAGGUACUGGCAUCACCGAUAUCACGGCCACUCUCACCAGAGUUACCCUUGAAGGGCUGGA